CCGAGGCACGUAGAGGAGUCCGUAUUGUUCCAUGCUGCUGAACCUUCACAGUAUCUUGCAUGUGCAAUGGACGAUCAAGGUUCUUCUACACUUACUAAGCUAAUUCUUAAUAAUUUUAUAGUACAGAAAAGACCUCUGGCACGACAAGGAAAGGAUCAUGUGAUCAAGAAGCUCAUAAGGCAGGCCAAGAAGUUACGUGAAAAGAAGACUGAAGAUGAUAAACAAAAAGAGAAAUUUCAGCAUAAGGCUGAGAGGCUUGUAGAAGAAGUAAUGGCCCUUAAGCCCAUGCGUCCUGAUGAUGUGAUAAAGUUUGUCCUCUUGAAUAAGAAGUCAUUUUCUUCAGUCUGCAAAAAUCCAAAAGCAAAGAUGGAGGAAAGAGCUCUGUGUCGUCUUGCAGAGCAUAAAGGUAUUAGCACUGCCAUCAGUAAAUUACGUGAGCAGUAUCCAAACUGGAAUGAAGAGGUUCCACUUAUUAUAAAGGGCCUGGGUAUUCUUCAUCGAGAAAAGAAGCUUAAGAAACUAAAGAUGAAGGGCCAGUUGGAGAGAUAUCUGGAGAAAGAGCGGCAAAGUCUCCAACGUCUGCAAGAACUGACGGACAUUGAUAUUGACCCACGAAUCCUCCAGGGAGUAGAUCCUGCAGGCAAGACGGGGGGAAAGAAGAAGGCCAGCAGCAGAAGUAGGAAGAGGAAGAGAGAGAUGAACUUGAAUCUUAAGUCAGAAGAUGAAGGAGUGAUAAAAAGAAAGGGAGUGACAAAAACAAACAAGAUACAAAAGACAAAUCAAGGGAAGAAGAAGGAUAUAAGAGACAGUAGGAGUGAUCUAGGGGAGAGCAUGGGUGACAUGGAAGAUGGAACUGGAGACAAUGAUGAAAGUGUAAGUGUAGAAAUGAAAAGGCAAAUUAGAACAGAAAGUACUCUGGACGACAGUGAUCAGUGUAACGAGGAAGAAAGCGAUGACGAGGAGAAAGAGCCAGCAUUGGGUGGAGAUAGUAGUGGUGGUGAGGAUGAAACUUCAGAUUUUGUCGUUGGUGCAUCAGGGAAGAAGCUUAAAGAAGAGAAGGGUAAUGAUUCUGACAGUAAUGAAGAAAGCAUCAGUGAAGGAGAAGAAUCUGAACACGCCAACUCUGAUAGCGAUUGUAGUGAAGAAGAGAUGCGGAAAGUGUCAAUGAAGAAGAAACUUAUAAAUGCAAAAUAUCCUACUGUUAAAAAGAUUCCCAAAACCUCAGGGACUGCAGAAGUGAAGCGGUUGGACCUAACAAACAUGACAGGAACAAUUGAUAAAAAGAUUCAGAAACCCUCAAGGACUUCAGAAGUGAAGCAGUUGGAUCUAACAAACAUGACAGGAACAAUUGAUAAAAAGACUCAGAAACCCUCAAGGACUUCAGAAGUGAAGCAGUUGGAUCUAACAAAUAUUAAUGGAAUAAUUGAAGGAAGUGAAGCUCAAGCCAUGUCUGAUUCUGAGGAUGAGGAGAACUUAUUUAGCAAGACAAAACCCAAGAAUGUGAAAAAAAAGAAAAGAAGUGAUUUCUUCCUUGGAUCGGGAAGAGGUGGUGAUGGUGGAGAAUCAGCUGAAGGAGAUUGGGGAUCAGAAGGGGAAGGUGAUGAGGAGUCUGAGGACAGUGGCAUCAUAGACACCAGCAAAUUCUUCAAGAAAAAUUUAUUCAGGAAAGACGAUGGUACGAGAGACACUGAGAGGGGACGAGGUGGAAGUAGAGGAUGGGGGAGCGACAGAAGUAGAAGAGGAGGCUUUGGAGAUAAAAGAGGAAGCUUUGGAGAUAAGAGAGGAGGCUUUGGAGAUAAAAGAGGAGGCUUUGGAGACAGAAGUGAAGACUCAGAAUACAGAAGAGGGGGCUUUAGAGACAAAAGAGGAGGCUUUGGAGACAGAAGUGGAGGCUUUGGAGUUAAAAGAGGAGGCUUUGGAGACAGAAGAGGAGGAUUUGGAGAUAAAAGAGGAAGCUUUGGAGACAGAAGAGGAGGCUUUAGAGACAGAAGUGAAGACUCAGAAGACAGAAAAGGAGGUCCAGGGGACAAAGGUGAAGACUCGGGAGACAGUAGAGGAGGUCAUGGAGACAGAAGAGGAGGUCGUGGUGACAGAAGAGGAAGCUUUGGAGACCGAAGAGGAGGUCGUGGAGGCUCAUUUACACAGUUCCCAUGGAAAGGUAAUCCUAACAUGAUUCCUCUGGCAAGCAAAGAUGAUGGUCCUGCAGCACCAUUGACAGGUGGAACAUCGUCAACAGACAACAUGCAGAAUAUCCACCCAUCGUGGCAGGCUAAAUUACGUCAGUCAUCUUCCAUCACCCAGUUCCAGGGGGGACAUAUUGUUUUCAAUGAAGAUGAUUAAAUCCAUAAAUUUCCUCCUAAUGCUGAGUGAACUGGGAGUGCCCGGGAAUCAAACCACCAACCCCUGGAACAGGAAGCGAGCACUGUAUCCACGCAUCUGCCAAGCUCCGUGAUGAGAAGGUGCAGAGUUUCCAGCCAAUGAGUCACCCUGAGGUAUGAUUGGCGGAGCUGUAAUACUGUACCACUGUCUGAUGAUACACAACAACUGUAGCUUGUGGAGACAGCGGGGAAAGUCCUGGUGGGAAUGAGAGAACCAAUCAUAUGAAAACCGCGGAAGCAAGUUAGCCUACUGCUGACAGGUAAAUGCAAUGAUAUAUCUUGUCGUUUUCGUGCCAGAAAUUCUGAUAAUCAGAAUUCGGUGAGCAAUGGAGCAAUUAGCGCCGAAAUGAAGACAAAAUUACGAUUACAAUUAUUCUGGCUGCGUUGCUGGCUGAAUGUAUCACAAUUAAUGGAUAUUACGCAUGUGGAAAGUAACUACAUGAUGCUUGACUGUUUGCCAAAUUGCCCCCAUGUGCUCCUGGUGUAGCGUGAGUCCUUUUAUUAUUAUUAUUUACGUCCAGGGGGCAGCAGAUUCAGUAGAGGACGCGGUCAGGUGCAACUUUGGGCUUAACAAGACAAUUUAAUUUAACAUUCACAUAAUAAAACUUUUAAUUCGU
rnacentral:misc_RNA from 1 species